CUUUGCCUACGGGGGGCAGCAGUGGGGAAUAUUGCACAAUGGGGGAAACCCUGAUGCAGCGACGCCGCGUGAGUGAAGAAGUAUUUCGGUAUGUAAAGCUCUAUCAGCAGGGCAGAUAAUGACGGUACCUGACUAAGGAGCCCCGGCUAACUACGUGCCAGCAGCCGCGGUAAUACGUAGGGGGCAAGCGUUAUCCGGAUUUACUGGGUGUAAAGGGAGCGUAGGUGGCAGGGCAAGUCAGAUGUGAAAACCCGGGGCUCAACUCCGGGAGUGCAUUUGAAACUGUCCAGCUAGAGUGCAGGCGG
rnacentral:rRNA from 1 species